rnacentral:rRNA from 1 species
ACCUGAAGAGCGCUGCAGCCCCGGCCGCUUGGCGAGGGCAGCGGCGCUAGACUUGUGCAGUGGCCUGGUAUGUUAGCCAUCCUCGCUGCCCGCCACACAUGUUUCCCGUCCCUGCAUCAGUUGCGCUCGACUACUGAGCGCGAAUGAUCCGUAAGGAGCAACUUCUGGUUGUUAACGUUACUAGAUAGGGGUAGUGCUACUUUAAAGGGUUCUAAUGGGCCCGGACAUUCGGUUCCGAUAUAUGAGCAACUUAUGUAGUCACAUCGCGCGCACGCCGGUUCUUUUAGAUUCCCGUAGUGUCUGGACAAUAACGGAGUUUGAAGGCAGCGGCUUUGCCGCUAUCAGGGAGAUUCUUCGAUCGAUGCAUCCCUACCGAGGCGUAUCGAUCAAUCGUCCGAUUCCAGAGUAAGCAAUUGCCUUAAUUGGUCUGUUUAGCGAGGUGGUUGAUUCUUGCCAGUACGUGGUGGUGGGUAUCUUAGUUCUUUCUCGAGAGUCAAACAGUUAGAAACGAUACAGACCUGGAUCAUUCAAAGGGGCACAACUCAGUUUAAUUCGGCGUCCGAGGUGCGGACCACCACGGGAAGGCAGUUAAGGAAAUUCAAAGUCGGAACGCUGGUAUGAGGGGGGCCUUGGGUUUCUGAAACUAAAGAGUAUUCCACGGCCGCCUCAGGAUAUUAGUUGUAGGCGGCUAGGGACCAGCCGUUGGAAAUACCAACUCUGAUCCCGCCAUAGACUAGCAGAAGCUCGGGGGUUGAAAGUAAGAGCUAAUUACUUUUGUAGGAACCGUUUACGAAAGCGUCAACAAACAGAAAGUAUUUAGGUUCUUAAAGUGGAGACUGAUACUUUAUGCUUACGGGGGCUGACAGGGAUAAUUAGUAAUGAGGCUAGGGCUUCCGGUUGUGUUAUCCUGGCCUUAGGCUACUACAAUAGGGUACGAUUACAUAGGUCUCGCUACCGAACGAAACUCGUGAGAUUAAAGAAGUUUCAUUGCUACGAUCUUUGUGCUGGGCCGGUGAAUUCCGAUCCUUGCGCUACGGCCGGCUUCCCAGCUCAUCCAGCCACGAGCGGCACUCCGCCUGGCCGGCUGGGCCGGGUUCCAGGUUGAUGCUCGAAAAAUUGACGUUGUUGAAUUUAUAUGCGAUAACCUCGACCUUAAUGGCGCCGACGACCGUGGUCUGAACGGGAGGUUACCUAGGAGCAAUUCCCUGAAUCUAACAUGAGUAAGGUUAAUGGUCUGUGAUUACGCGGGCCAUAACAAUAAAUAACAGUGAUUAAGGGGCACAGUCCUAACCCAUUAAACGAGCGGACGACGGAAGGAACCUACACCAUCGGCAAAGAGUCCGAGGGAGAGGCCUUAGCUUGGGAUUAAGAGGCAGUGAGCAGUGGUGGUACCAUCCGGGGAUAGGAUGGUAGCUUUCAACUAUCCCGUCUUUAAACUUACUACGCAGCGACCGUGCUUCCGGCACGCUAGGUAGCUCAAUAGUACUUAGUAGCCUAGUCGCUCGUCUCGGGCGCAGUCGGAAAAUAGAUUAUUUACGCGGGGAGGGUCUUCAGCCCCAAACAACGUGCAUAAUCGAGAUCUUAAUGACGCCAAUAGGCUCAUCGUGCAUGGUAGUUUGUUUGAUAUUGACUAAAUUACUCGGUAAGCGUCAAAGUGUCAAGUUUAACCAAGUAUGAACGUGUACGUACCGAAUUAGAAACUCUGUUCGUAUACUGAUGACGG